GGCCGUGCCUUCCUCCCGGCGAGGGCUCAGCCUGGUUGCUUACCUGGGGAAGGAGGCGGACCCCAAAGGCCUGUAGAAGUGUCUGGGACCAGGGUCAGGCUGCUCCUAGGAAGGAAUGGAUGAAUAAAAAGAAUUGAGUAGUCUUGUUAUCACUGUAUUCUGCCCUCCCUGGUACUUUCACGUGAACCAGACUUCCUUAAUCAGAGUAGAAAAUCUGCAACCAACUUGAUGAAAACUAGCAUUUAUGAUACCCUGUCAUCUGGCUGGCAAGCCAGGUAGUAGCACAUGUUUAUACAGCUGCUUAUGGUUACACCUAGUUUACCAGACUAUGGAUUAGGGAUGCUUAAACACAGCUGAUUUGGAUCAUGCCCUGAUCAGGCAGCCAGUUUUUCUGUGAUGCGUUUGACACCUCAUUCACAGCUGUUCAAAGGGUUGCUGCACUCCAUCCCAGAACUGGACAGUAUAGCAUGAUUGAAGUUCAAGCAUGUGUGCUGUCACACAGCAUGACGGAGCUCUCUUCCUACCCAAGUCAUUGCUGCAGACUGCUUUGCUUCACAGGCAAAAACAGAGGAUUAAACCAACAUAUAAACUGCUGGCAAAAUUCAGCAGUGAAAAACACCCCAAAAAGAGAAAAGAACAUUGAAAAAGGAAGCACAUCUUGCCCAACUGUUGUGGGCAAGAACCCUGCUGUGCAGUCCCUGUAAUGGACAAACUGUUCCACAAAAUUGUAAGCAUUCCUACUAUGGAGCUCCAUGAGGAAACAUGAGAUGCCUGCAGGAUGCCCAUGAC